rnacentral:rRNA from 1 species
GACGAACGCUGGCGGCGUGCCUAAUACAUGCAAGUCGAACGCAGUGGGGACGGGUGAGUAACACGUGGGUAACCUCCCAUCAGAGGGGAUAACACUUGGAAACAGGUGCUAAACCGAUACUGAUGGAUGGACCCGCGGUGCAUUAGCUAGUUGGUGAGGUAACGGCUCACCAAGGCGACGAUGCAUAGCCGGCCGGAGAGGAGGAUCAGCCACACUGGAACUGAGACACGGCCCAGACUCCUACGGGAGGCAGCAGUGGGGAAUCUUCGGCAAUGGGCGAAAGUCUGACGCAGCAACGCCGCGUGAGUGAAGAAGGUUUUCGGGUCGUAAAACACUGUUGUUGGAGAAGCGGUAUCUAACCAGAAAGCCACGGCUAACUACGUGCCAGCAGCCGCGGUAAUUC